UUGUUAAACGUACGCGUUUCGUCUAGAAGACUUCGUCAGGGGCUCGUGGCAACAAAGUUUGUUGCCACGAGCCCCUGACGAAGUCUUCUAGACGAAACGC